rnacentral:rRNA from 1 species
AACACAUGCAAGUCGAGGGGCAGCAUGGUCUUAGCUUGCUAAGGCCGAUGGCGACCGGCGCACGGGUGAGUAACACGUAUCCAACCUGCCGUCUACUCUUGGACAGCCUUCUGAAAGGAAGAUUAAUACAAGAUGGCAUCAUGAGUCCGCAUGUUCACAUGAUUAAAGGUAUUCCGGUAGACGAUGGGGAUGCGUUCCAUUAGAUAGUAGGCGGGGUAACGGCCCACCUAGUCUUCGAUGGAUAGGGGUUCUGAGAGGAAGGUCCCCCACAUUGGAACUGAGACACGGUCCAAACUCCUACGGGAGGCAGCAGUGAGGAAUAUUGGUCAAUGGGCGAGAGCCUGAACCAGCCAAGUAGCGUGAAGGAUGACUGCCCUAUGGGUUGUAAACUUCUUUUAUAAAGGAAUAAAGUCGGGUAUGUAUACCCGUUUGCAUGUACUUUAUGAAUAAGGAUCGGCUAACUCCGUGCCAGCAGCCGCGGUAAUACGGAGGAUCCGAGCGUUAUCCGGAUUUAUUGGGUUUAAAGGGAGCGUAGAUGGAUGUUUAAGUCAGUUGUGAAAGUUUGCGGCUCAACCGUAAAAUUGCAGUUGAUACUGGAUAUCUUGAGUGCAGUUGAGGCAGGCGGAAUUCGUGGUGUAGCGGUGAAAUGCUUAGAUAUCACGAAGAACUCCGAUUGCGAAGGCAGCCUGCUAAGCUGCAACUGACAUUGAGGCUCGAAAGUGUGG